rfam:Brachypodium distachyon strain Bd21 chromosome 1, whole genome shotgun sequence.
UUACUACUCCCUCCGUUCCAUAAUUCUUGUCGAAAUAUUACAUGUAUCUAGACGCUUUGUAGGAAUAGAUACAUCCAUUUUUAAACAAAAUUGAGACAAGAAUUAUGGAACAGAGGUAGUACAUG